AGUCAUUUUUCCACAAACAAGCGCUGUGACAUGGAGAUAUGGCCGUGUGGGAACACUAUCCCUGUCAAGAUGUGUAUCAACGUAACUUUUAUUUUUAAAUUAUGAUUUCGCGCUGAUAUGAAAGAUAAGGUCCUUGUGCUUCCAAUACCCUAUCGCAAGCGACACGUAUUAAUGUUCAGAUUGAGCGUCGGGGUACUCCCCCCUACAGAAGACGCCUUCCUCCAAUGACUCUUAUGUGUAAUAUAAUGGAACUGAGAGUCAUGAUCAAGGGCUAGAGAAAUGGAUGGAAAACAAAAUGCAUCUGGUGGACAUCAGGCUUAAAAUGUGGAUAUCAGCCAUCAAUAAACCCCACAGAAGAAGGGGCGGGGAUGACACCCUGCUUUUUCUCUUUGUUCUAGUAGCAUUUAGACCGAGUGAUUGCCCUUAGGGACGAUGACCCACUGUUUCUACCUGCUGGGGCGCUGGUGUUAUGAGGUGAGCCGAACAACAAGCUUUUUAUCCGUAGUCAGUGUCUUAUCUUGGAACUUGGCUGCAAAACGACAAAUAGCAAUACAACCAAUCCUAUGCUAACUAAAACGUGUUUCUGUUUUUUUAUAUAUUUUUUAAAAUUCUGUCGGUUUCCACUUUUGGCUGUCUGGAGAGGAAGACUGCUUUGGCUGUCUGGAGAGGAAAGCGGCAGCGGCCUUCCUCUCUAGCCAGCCAAUAGUGGAAACCGACAGAAUAAAAAAGAACAGGGACACGUGUUAUGACAAAUCACCAACAUCUACUCUCCAGGAGGCCCUUGAAAACUUCCUCAAGGACGAGGAUAGUGCUAAAUUGGAGGUGGAGCUGGCAGCCUUGAUUGACAAAGCGACUGACACCAUCCAGGAAACAGUGGGUGCCGCUGGAUGGCCAUUGGCCAACUAGUUCGCUCGUCACAGGCUACCCAAUCAGCUGUGUGCUAUAAACAGCAACCAUGACUUGUYCCUCAGCACGCUGGGUGUCAAUUUCAGAAGCCACUUCAUAUCACGUCACUGUGACAUGGUUCAAUAUGUUUUAAGCUAUUAUAUUGCAGUCCCAUGACAGCUCAAUUGGUGUCAAUACCUCUGUCUUUUUGUUAUACAGAAAUAUUACUUUAAC